UAAAGGAAAAAAACAGCACCCCGCACGCUCAAUGCCUCCCCCGAUCCCAUCUCUUCCACCUCCAGAGCACCGCCACCUCCUGCCACGCCCCACCCCGCCUCACCGCGCACCGCCGGCCGCCGCCGCGCGCCCCUCCGGCACGCCUACCCCUACCCCAAGUGCCCCCACACCCGCGGCCUUCCACCGCCGGCGACAGUCUACCCUGACUGUGUCGCUCCCAAGCCACCCGACCCCAAAUCGCUCGGGUGUCGGCGGCGCUGGCAGCACAAGCAGCUGCCAUGAAGCUGCGCGCCACCCCCUUGCCCCCUUCACCUCCUUCCUCCCACUUGCACACAUGAGAAGGAAUUGAAUCAGAGUCGGUCCCUCAAUCUAAACCAGGAGGAGCGCCCAUUGAACAGGAUGGUGUGCAGGUCGCGGAGAGUUGCAUCGGCAAGUGUCAGCUCAUAUCUUGAAGUGCCAUGGAGCAAAGCUUGUGAGGAUGCAGGGGCCGUUGGUGGUGUUGGACUUAUCGCAGGUUGAACCACAUCUUGCUUUCCUUUUCUUUUGCCAAUCUGCUCUCUUGUCUCUCGGAGUCACAAAUUGGUCAUCCAUGCAUCUCUUCUUCUUAAUAGAUAUAUAACAUUGAUUUGAUUGGUAAUACUGAUGGCAGAUUGCUGCAAUUUAUUGAAUUUGAUCUAAUUUAUUUUGGGAUUGUUAAAUUUGUGAUUUUUUACAUACAAUCUAUGGAUACCUCAUGGAGAUCGGUCGAAGCAAACUAUUCUCAUCAGCUUCAGUAAUGUGUCUGAUGCCAUUUGGCCCAUAUGGCAGGGUUAACAUCAUCAAUGGCCUGCCCCAGUCGUCAGCCAGAUAGUUAUAUUGUGAAACACUUGACAAUGAAGCUCUCUGUCAACUAUUAAAGCAUUGACAAUUUCUAUCCUAAAGCUGAAUGUUUUUGUGGGCAAUUCGUUCGUAAAAGCAAUGGCAAGUGAGAACUACUAAAUCAUUGAGAGUCUCCUUGCCUCCCUCACGGGCUACACACGCUACAACCUGCUUGGAUGCAACAUGCUGGUCUUCCAAGGCCUACGUCAAGCACACCAGUGUUUCCAGGUUGUACGAGGCCCUGUAAACACUUAUAAUUUGAGUGAUGUUGCCACAGCCUGGCCUUGCUGAUGCGACAUGAGUAGUUUUUUCUAGCAAUCACGCACAUCUGAAGACUUACUGGACUACUUUCCGAACUGACCGGACGUGACAAGAUAGGCAAGCACAAAAGAGCUAGCUGAUUUAUUCACCAUACAAUUAUACUAUUAUUUGAAGGCACAAUUAGAUACUACUGAAAGUGUUGAUGUAUUGGUAUUGGCAGGUUUUGCCAGUACUUGAAAUGCCAUUUUAAGUAGAGGUAUUAGAAAUACGAAGUUCUAACUUUGUUCUUGUGGUAAUCUAAAAAUAAUUUGGUGAUUUCAAGUAGUUCUGAGAGUAUAAGUAUUAUCCCUUCUUUAAUAAUGGUAAGAGCAUAGAUCUCAUCAACUAGGAAAUAAUCCAUCAGGUAAGCAAAACACUGAAUAAUCACCAUUUGUAUGAAAUAGUACCUGCACAUAUUAUUUUUAAGAUGAAACAAGUUGGUUUGUUUACUAUGAGGAACCACCUUAUGGCCUUUGUGUAUUCCAGGAACUACCAAUGUAUCUUCCUAUUUGAUCCAAAAUGCAUACACACAUGAUUAUGAUGGAGAUACUAUCCGAACUUGCCAUCAACAGGAUUGAGCAAUGUGGCAUAUAAGCUUUAGCUUGCUGGUUCAGAUUAUCAGUGUUAAUCUUCUGGUUGUGGCAAUUUUUCAGACUUUUUGAGAGGGUGUCAUGUGUCAGAUGAGAGAGGCAACUGAUGUGGUUCUUUAUCAUGUUGCUGCCAUCGCAACCACAUGUUAAUUAAAGUGCAGGUACUCCAGUCAGUCGGGAGCUCUAUAAAUGAGGAAAGCGGAAAGAGCCAUGGCGUGAUGGCUACAUAUUCAUCUACCUUGACAACCUUUAAGUACCAACAGUUGAAUAAUCGUAGGUUUUAUUUGGAGAACAAAAAUAUAAGAUUUAAUGCUACCCAAUAUUUGUAAUUGAAAAAGAUAGAUUGUACGUGCUUUACAUUAUAUAGGUGGUUGCCUCAAUAUGUUUCAAGCUAGAGAAUAAUAUUUGUGUAUAGUCUGAUUUUGGUCUGUCCAUAUUUCAUACCUGUAACACAUGAUGGAGGAGCACGGAGCAGUCCUAAAUAUUGGUGGAUUACAUAGAUUCUGCAACUCCCUUAAAUCCAGUGUGCACUAAACUACUCCAAUUUCCAUUUUAUGGGAGAAUUUUGAGCUAGACUCCUGCUAUCUGUAGAUUUUGUCUUCCAAGUUAUGGAUAUCACAGUGCAUGUAUUCACCAUUGUGGUGUAGCCUAAUGAUACUUUCUAACUAUAUAUACAUCAUUGGUAGUUCAUAUCUUCA